rnacentral:rRNA from 1 species
ACAUGUUCUUUUGUUUAUAUAAAAGAUUUGACCUGCCCAAUGACUAUGUUUAAUGGCUGCAGUAUUUUGACUGUACAAAGGUAGCAUAAUCAUUUGUCUUUUAAUUGAAGUCUAGAAUGAAUGGUUUGAUGAAAAAUAUAUUUUCUUUAUUUUAAAGAAAGAAUUUAAUCUUUUAGUUAAAAAGCUAAGAUUUAUUUGUAGGACGAGAAGACCCUAUAGAACUUUAUUUUUGGGUUUUUAUUUUCAAUAUAGGAUAUAUUUUGGAUAUAAAAAUAUUAAAUUUUGUUGGGGUGACAGAAAAAAUCUAAUAACUUUUUCUAUUUUUUUCAUUUUGAUUGUAUUGUUGAUCCUUUUUUAUGGAUGCAAGAUUAAGUUACCUUAGGGAUAACAGCGUUAUUAUUUUAGAGAGUUCAUAUCGAUAAAAUAGUUUGCGACCUCGAUGUUGGAUUAUAAUUAGAUAUAGGAGUAGAAUAUUAUGUUCUAGGUCUGUUCGACCUUUAAAUUUUUAC